CACUGGGAUGCAGAGCUGUCAGCAGUGCUCUAGCAGCACGUAAAUACUGGAGUUUAGGAUUGCCUGUUGCUCUCCAGUAUUGCAUUGCUGCUUUAGUGAGGCUGGAAAUCGGUCCCUGCCGCAGG
rnacentral:pre_miRNA from 10 species